CUAGCCGUAAACGUUGUGCACUUGGUGUGGGGGGACUCAACCCCCUCUGUGCCGAAGCUAACGCGAUAAGUGCACCGCCUGGGGAGUACGGUCGCAAGAUUAAAACUCAAAGGAAUUGACGGGGGCCCGCACAAGCGGUGGAGCAUGUGGCUUAAUUCGAUGCAACGCGAAGAACCUUACCAGGGUUUGACAUAAUAGGAUUAACCUUGUGAAAGCAGGGGGCUUGCCCUUCGGGGUGUAACUAUUACAGGUGC
rnacentral:rRNA from 1 species